rnacentral:rRNA from 1 species
CAGUCGCCACGGGAAUACGUAGGGCGCAAGCGUUGUCCGGAAUUAUUGGGCGUAAAGAGCUCGUAGGCGGUCUGUCGCGUCUGGUGUGAAAUCCCGAGGCUCAACCUCGGGCUUGCAUCGGGUACGGGCAGACUAGAGUGCGGUAGGGGAGACUGGAAUUCCUGGUGUAGCGGUGGAAUGCGCAGAUAUCAGGAGGAACACCGAUGGCGAAGGCAGGUCUCUGGGCCGCAACUGACGCUGAGGAGCGAAAGCAUGGGGAGCGAACAGGAUUAGAUACCCCGGUAGUCCCUGUCUCUUAUAC